rnacentral:rRNA from 1 species
UACAGAGGGGGCAAGCGUUGUUCGGAAUUACUGGGCGUAAAGGGCGCGUAGGCGGCCUCUUAAGUCGAACGUGAAAUCCCCGGGCUUAACCCGGGAACUGCGUCCGAUACUGGGAGGCUUGAAUUCGGGAGAGGGAUGCGGAAUUCCAGGUGUAGCGGUGAAAUGCGUAGAUAUCUGGAGGAACACCGGUGGCGAAGGCGGCAUCCUGGACCGACAUUGACGCUGAUGCGCGAAAGCCAGGGGAGCGAGCAGG